rnacentral:tRNA from 1 species
GGCCCGUUCGUCUAGUGGCUAGGACGCCUGGUUCUCAUCCAGGUAACAGGGGUUCGACCUACCUACCGGCAGGCA